rnacentral:tRNA from 1 species
AGGGGUAUAGCUCAGUGGUAGAGUACGUGCUUAGCAUUCACAAGGUUCUGGGUUCAAAACCCCAGUACCUCAA